GUGUGAUGACGUAACAGCCUUGCGUCGUGACGGGAAUUCACAGUUCUUUAGUGUGAUGACGUAACUCUAUUCUUCCCCAUUUUGUCAAAAAUACUCUUGUUUUGUGUUUUCUCUCUAAUGUUCGGCCUCCCCAAGAGUUUUUCGGCAUCUUCUAUUCUUCCUUGGCUUUUGAGUGCUUCAUUUCAUUGCUCCGAAGUUAUCAUGUCAUCCUCAUCUCCUCCAUAACAGAAAAGGACAAAAACCCAAGCUGGAAGAGAUCUUGAAAGAAGAAUCAAGUAGUAGAGAGGACUGAAAAGUUGCUUGUCAAGAGGGCUAGAAUGGCUGCUGGACCUACACCGACUUUGGAUGUACCUGCAACCAUUGUAGGUGAUUCAGGUUUUAAGGUAAGGUUCCCAAUGUUGAAAAAGCAGCAGCUCUUCCUUGAUCAGUUUUGCAACCAAAAGGUAAUCAUUGAGCAUCCUAUCACUCUUCUUGAUUUCUCCUCUGAUGAGUUUUCGUUCAUUCCUCCAAUUUUUUAGGGUUGGGGUUGGCGUUGUUUUACCAGUCCUCCUCAUGUUGUUUACGUUGAUAUCGUUCUUGAAUUCUACAUGAACAUUUCUAGGUUUAGUGAAAAGACCUCUUCUCUCACAAUUUAUGCAAGGGGCAAGGUCAUUUCUUUAACCCUUGUUGCCUUGACCAAGAUUUGGAAUAUUCCCUUUGAGCCUUGCCCUAAAUUCACUUAUCCCCCUGACAAAGCUCCUUCUCGUGAAGAGCUUGGUGAGUUCCUUGGUCUUACCUCUUGGACUAAUAGCUUGUCAUCUUUUCCUGUCGAUUCCAUCCAACUCCCUGCUCGCAUGCUUGCUCACAUGAUUAUGAACAAUCCUUUUCCUAUCUUAUGGCACAGUGAUUUUACAUAUAUAAUAGAGCCUUGUUCUUGCAUGCUCUGAUAAAGGGUUGUAAGAUUGAUCUUUGCUCAUGCAUCAUAGAACCCAUUGUUGACAUCUAUGAACCAGAAAAUCUUACCUUUGCUUAUGGUGGUGUCAUAGAACUCAUUGCUGACAUCUAUGGCUCUUAUUUGCACUCCUUUGGAUCGAGAUUCUAUUGCCAAAUUUGAUGUCAAGUCUAAGGGGAAACCUUUUGGUUCUCAGCCUUCCUCUUCUUCUGUUGCUACUGCUCCCACUGCAUCUGAUGUUUUUUCUUCAACAGAGUUUCUCAAUCACAUUGCAUAGAUGUUUGAAGCCAAAAUAGAAUUCUUUGGAAGACAAGUGGAUGACUUGAAGAAGGAAAAUGCCGAUUUAAAGAUGGAAGUUGCUGCCUUGAAGACUCAACUUGAUAGUCACUUCUUUGUUCAAUGUAGCCUUGAAGUCUCUUCUUUAGCGGAUUCGUCAAGAAGAAUGUUAUGAUGAAUAUCAAGAUGAUGAUAUUUAUGAAGAUAUUUUAGCUAUUGUUUCUCCUCGUGUAAGGGAGCUUUUUCAAUUAUUGUAUGAGUUUGUGGAUCCCUCGGUCUCUACCUCGACUUUGAAAGACUUGUUUCAAGAUGUUCAAAUCCUCUUCAUCAUCCUCUUCAAGAUGCACAGAAUCUCCUUGAGGACCUCAUUGUUGACCCUCCUAGGGAUGGGGAGUAGUGUGCUUUGGUCUUUCCACCUUUGUCCUUCGUGACAAAAAGGGGGGAGAAGUUUUUGUAAUGGAAAACUCUUUUAGGCAGAUGACCUCUACUUGAGGGGGAGAUGAUUUUCUGCCGUGGGAGUUUGUGUUGACAUUUUUUCCUUUUUAGUUGUGGUUUCUUGUGACUUUUUGAGCUAUGUUUAAGUUCUCCUCUGUAUAUUUUUUGUAUCUUGACUAUUGUUAACUGACUUCAUGAUAUUUGUAGAACUCUUAUGAGAGUAGUUGAAUA